UUCUUCAGCUGUGUCCUCCUUCAGCUUCAUCUCUCACUCACUGCCUCAACAUAUUUCUGAGUUGCCUCAAACCAUCAAUGUCUAAUGCUAAAGCACUGAACCAGGGCUCACUCGUGACGUAAGUCAGGAGAGAUUUUCCAGAAUUAUGAGGAUAUUCUGAGGAAGAACCAGUAUUAUUUACAGGACAAAGAAAAACUAAAGGAUGCUUUUACUGGAUUGGUUCGCUGCUUGUCACUCUUGCCAUUAAUGAAAGAGAAACAGAUUUUCAUAAUAAGGAUACUGGGAAAAGGGUAUUGCUUGUGUUUCAAGUUGAUGCGUUUGUGAGCUCUAAUGGUUUUUCUUAUAACAUAAAGAAACUGAAGGAUCUAGUGCUGGCUUUAAUAAAUAGUUUCCUGGAAUUUAUUCCAUUGGUUCAUGCUAUGGAAGGUCUUGAAGGGAAGAUUUUUGGUUGUAUGGUAUUUAUUUUUCGUAGCAUAGAUCUUUGUAGUUAUGACCAUUGCUUAUAGGACUGAAAGAUUCCUAUUAUGUUUUCUGAUAUUAUGCGUUCCAGAAAAUGGUGAUGAACAGGAAGGCAGGAAGCUCCCUCCAUUCAAUCAAGUACUCAGCAUUAUUAUCUCCUACCGUGCUUUUUCUUGUUUGAUUGGUACCAUAAAUCAUCUUGUGUUGAAGAGAAUGGGAUCAGCUGUAACUGAAAGCAGUUUGUCACUGGUAUCUGAUAAAUGCACUCAACAUAUAAGGAACUGUUUGAUUAGGGUGAAUGCUGUUACUUCACAAGGAUGCUAAAUUGCAACAGAUUAUGUCUUUAGUCAAGGAAGAUAUUGAUAACAUCAUACAGCAAGUUCGUUGUUUACAGCUAUCAAAUUUAUUAUGUUUGGUUGAACGAGGUAAGAUGGAGUGUUGGUGGCACAUACAAGGUCGGUAGUUCAAUGUAAAGGUCUUCCAAGGUGGAUGGGUGUGAUGGUUCUUCAUGGUGGAUGGGUGUGGUAACAGUGAUAACAUACAAGGAUAUUCCCACGCUUAAGUCAGUACGUGUUUAACAAAAUAACAGUAAGGUAUAAAGUCUAGUACUUGAAUGGUGAUUCCUCUCACUAUUUAAUUAGAUAUCAUAGGUUAGGUGAGUCUUGGUUAGCUAAUGUCAUCAACCAUCAACCUCUUGUGAUCCCCUUACCAUUUAUGCAAACAUGCAAAGUUAGGCAAUGUUCAAGCCGAUGAACUGGUAUUCAGUUGAGUUGUUGUGUUGUGGUUGCUGUCUAUGAAGCACGGACACUUCUGUAAAAUGGUGUGUUGGCAUGUCCGACACAUUUCAAUACGACUUUUGUUAGAUACACCUUAGACAGUGUUAACAACGUCAACAUUCCUCUGUCAUGUCACAAUUAAAAGUUAGGUUUUUUUUAAAAUUUUUUUUUCUCAAACAUCUGUUGGACAAAGUUUAGACACCUCUCCAACAAACCUGGACACAAGCCAAGAGAUUAAGCUGACAGUUAUUCUUGACUAAACAUUUAUCGAAGACUCUUAUUAUAUAAUGGAUUUACAAAGUCAACUUGUCAUGUCUGAUUCCUGGGUUGGAGUAGGUAUUUCACAAGUUGUGGUUACCAACAUCGAAGUGUUAGAAACUUGUCAUGUGUAGUUCCUGGGUUGGAGUAGGUAUUUCAUAAGUUGUGGUUACCAACUUUAAAGACAAGGUCCUUUUUUUCCGCCAUACCUCAGCCAAAAGGUUUGUGGAAAAGGAAAAAGUAAAGAGCAAUUAGAACCAUUGAAAUAUAUUGAUUUAUCUAGUUGCUUGGAUUGUUGACUUCAAGUAUGAGAAGUUGAUAUCAAUGGUGGGGAUGGUGGUGAAGUUAAUGACGUUUCAACUUGGAUCUAAUGGUCCGAAGAAGUCUUCUAGAGAUUGUGAUCAGUGGAUGCCUGAUCGUAGGAAGUCAGAUACAGCAGACGAUGAUGAGCAACUGUUUAGCGUUGUAUUGUACGAAGAUGUGAAUGAACACCUGUUCUCCCUCAGCACAUCAGAGGCUCAACUAUCUUUGUUGUCCCAAUUCGUUGACUUCUAUGGUGGGAAGAUGUCUCAAUUGAGAGUUUUCUGAUGUAGAUACUCUUUUGUGCACUCCAGUUGAUAUCAGUACUAGUAGUUGGGGUCGGUUUUCAAAAGCUAGGAAGGAAAAGUAUGUACUCUAGUAUUGUAACUAAUUAGGAGUCUAAUGUGCUAUGCUGGUAAAGGUUUCAAAAUAGCUGAUUAAGGACUUUUUUGGAUAAAUUUUUCCAUGGACACUUAUAGGAGUAGAAAAUGCGAAGGAAAAAAUUAAAUAAUUUUCUCCAUAUGCUAAAAUUAGGUACGCAUAAGUUAAAAAUAAGCAUAUGAAGAAGCUAAUAUGAGAAAGUUAGUACACAUCAGCUUAUUCAUAAGCUAAUUUAAACUGAUAGAGAAAUUUAUAUCA